CCCCCACUACUCGUUCGCCGAGGUCCUCCAGGGUUUAGAAUCAAUAUGAAUACGCCCGCGAAGCGCGCUCGCUGCUGACUUCACUUCCACGCGAAUUCCCGGCGCCGAGGUCCGCGAGACGGCGACGUACCCUCGCGCGAGUAAAACCGCCCGCGCAACCGAGCGAGCUGUGUGUGACGUCUGAGCCGUCGUCGUCGUCGUCGUCGUCAUCAUCUCCUAAGCUCAUACAUAUCCACGCACGUGCACACACACAUACACACACGUAACACACGAACGGGAUCGAAGCAGAUCGAACAAGACGAACGGGGUCUCGAUGUAAUAUCGCGCGGAGUAGAGUGGCGAACAGCCACCUUUGUAGGACGCGAAAGCCACAGAGCGAAACAGAAGAGAGAAACCGGUGGCGAGCACGAGGAAAAAGAAAGAGAGAGAGAGAGAGAGAGAGAGAGAGAGACUUGCGUCUCUCCGGUAACCACGACUCCACGGAAAAGCACGACGAAUUGCAGGAAUUCGCGAAGGAACGUCGCAAAGGAGCCAUCGCAGGCAAUCGGUGGAUCGGUGAAUCUCGCAAGCGAGAGAAUCAUAUUGGGGCUGAUUUUCGGUCGGUCGGUCGAUCGGUCGACGAGACGAAGUGUCGAAGUCGAGUAGACAAGAGGAAGAAGUAAAAGAGAGGAAUGAUAGAGUCACGCUAGUGUGCGAACAGAUUCACGAGCGAUCAAACGCGCACAAAGUGUCGCGCGGGAUCGAGAGACAGAGGAAGAAAAAGAGGGCGAGAGAGAGAGAGAGAGAGAGAGAGAGAGAGAGAGAGAGAGAGAGUGAGUGAGAGAAAAUAGAAAGAAAAAGAAAGGAAAGAGAGGGUGUUCGAUCACAGUCAGGUGACGAGGUCGAUCGGGCAACGAUGGCAGUGAACACUUUCUCGACGGCAAUGCACAGCACCGAUUUUGCCACUACGUGCACUACAUCUGCGCCCUGGACCGAGGCGUCACUACCGCCCGAAGACGAGGAGGAGAAUAUCCUGCAUAUCGGCGGCAUCUUUCCGAUCGCCGGCGAAGGCGGCUGGCAAGGCGGUCAGGCUUGCAUGCCAGCCGCGCACCUGGCCUUAGAGGACGUUAAUCGCGAGAAGAACUUGCUACGCGGAUACAGGCUGCAUCUUCAUUCCAACGACAGCGAGUGCGAGCCCGGUCUCGGCGCGUCCGUGAUGUACAACUUGCUGUACUUCCCACCCUAUAAAUUAAUGCUGCUAGCCGGCUGCAGCACGGUCUGCACCACGGUCGCCGAGGCGGCGAAAAUGUGGAAUCUAGUGGUGCUCUGUUACGGUGCGUCGUCGCCGGCGUUGUCCGAUCGAAAUCGAUUCCCGACCCUCUUCAGGACGCAUCCAUCCGCCACCGUGCACAAUCCCACGAGAAUCAAAUUGCUGCAAAAGUUCGGCUGGUCCCGGGUUGCAAUAUUACAACAAGCCGAGGAAGUGUUCAUAUCGACCGUCGAAGACCUGGAAGCGCGGUGUAAAGAAGCCGGAAUCGAGAUAGUCACACGGCAGAGCUUCCUCUCGGACCCGACGGACGCGGUGAAGAACUUACGCCGUCAGGAUGCGCGGAUAGUCGUCGGCCUGUUCUAUGUGGUGGCCGCGAGGAGGGUACUCUGCGAGCUCUAUCAUCAGAAGCUGUACGGCAAAACCUACGUAUGGUUCUUCAUAGGUUGGUACGAGGACGACUGGUUCGAGAUCAAUUUGGAGAAGGAAGGCAUCAGCUGCACGAAGGAGCAGAUGCGCAUGGCGGCGGAGGGUCACCUCACUACCGAAGCACUCAUGUGGAAUCAGAACAACGACACGACAAUCAGCGGUAUGACCGCCGAGGACUUCAGGAAGCGGCUGAACAAAUUGCUGAAGGACGAUGGCUACGACAUCGACAACAAUCGGUAUCCGGAAGGAUACCAGGAAGCACCGCUCGCCUACGACGCGGUCUGGUCCGUCGCGUUGGCGUUCAACAGAACCAUGGAGCGGCUGAGCAAGAUGGGAAGGAACCUGAAGAACUUCACUUACGAAAACAAAGAGAUCGCCGACGAGAUAUACGCGGCGGUAAACUCGACCCAAUUCCUCGGAGUUUCCGGUCACGUAGCGUUCAGCUCGCAGGGCGACAGGAUCGCCUUGACGCAGAUCGAGCAGGUGAUCGACGGCAAGUACGUGAAGCUGGGCUACUACGACACGCAGAGCGACAAUCUGACGUGGCGGAACGUAGAGCGAUGGAUCGGCGGCAAGGUGCCGCAGGACAGAACGAUAAUAAGAACCGUCUUGAGAACGGUGUCACUGCCCUUAUUCAUAAGUAUGGCAACCUUGUCAGCGCUUGGUGUCGUGAUAGCCAUCGGAUUGAUCAUAUUUAACGUCUAUAAUAGGCACCGGAGAGUCAUAUACUCGUCUCAUCCCACCGCCAAUACGAUAAUGCUGGUGGGCAUAAUAGGCUGUUUCCUGGCGGUGUUGUUUAUUGGGAUUGAUGGUAGGUUCGUGACGCCCUGGCAAUUCCUGAUAAUUUGCCAAGCGAGAGCGUGGACGAUGUCGACCGGAUUCACCUUGGCGUUCGGUGCCAUGUUCAGCAAAGUAUGGAGGGUCCACCGGCUCUCCACGAAAGCGAAGGCCGAUCAAGGCAAAUCAUUGACGGCUAAACAAAAGGUUUCGUCUAUACAGAAGAAGAUUGAGCCGUGGAAGCUGUACGUAAUGCUGAGCGGAUUAUUGUCGGUGGACAUCAUCCUGCUGGUCACUUGGCAAGUGGUUGAUCCGCUGCGUCGAAAAAUCGAGACCUUCUCACUGGAGUUACCUCCGUUUGGAGACGAGGACGCGAUGAUUAAACCCGAAUUAGAACACUGCUCGAGCGAACACUACGGCCUGUGGAUCGGUUUGAUCUACGGCUACAAAGGUAUCGUCCUGGCUUUCGGGCUCUUUCUGUCCUACGAGACGAGAAGCAUCAAAAUCAAACUGAUCAAUGACUCCAGAUACGUGGGAAUGUCGAUAUAUAAUAUCGUAGUUCUGUGUCUCAUAACGGUACCUGUGAUAAUGGUCAUCUCCAGCCAGCAGGACGCGAGUUACGCAUUCUCGGCGUUAGCCACUAUCUUCUGUUGCUUCCUUAGCAUGGCGCUCAUCUUCGUGCCGAAAGUAAUCGAGGUGAUCAGGCAUCCCCGCGACAAAUCCGAGUCGAGGUAUAACCCGGACGGUGCGGUAUCCAAGGAGGAGGAGGAGAAGUAUCAAAAACUACUCAACGAAAACGACGAGCUUCAAAAACUCAUCGCUGCGAAGGAGGAGAAGAUCCAAGCCAUCAAGCAGAAGCUGGCGGAGCGCGACGCCCUGAAGGGAGCCGGUACGAGCCGUUGCAGGCAGGGUCAGUCCAAGCAGUCCUUCAUCGUCGCGGAUUAUCCGACCGGCGAGGGGACGUCGGACAGUGCUAUCGGUGGGGGUAUUUCUAUAUGUACAAAAUCCUCUCGCGCUUCCGCUUCUGACGUUGAGUUUUCAGAGACGUACUUAUAAUCCCUCUCCGGCGAAUGUAAAGUCACAACCGCAACCAUGGAAUGUGUUUCUCUCGCUCUCGCUUUCGCUCUCUCAUUCUCUCGCUCUCGGCAACGCAUUUGGGACCCAAAACCCUUUCCGGUCGAUCACGAUGACUAUCGUUCUCGUCUCUAAAUCUCCAAUCGAAAAACUCUCGAAAGCAUCAAUUGCCGCACGCAGCACGUCGCCGAAAUGUACGAACUGCACCGACUAUGAUGCCAAAGCAAUACACGCCACCCACAUGACGCACAUACACACAAACACGCACACACAACACACGGACACACACAUACGGAACGAGCGGUUCGUCGCUCGCGUCGCGACAAAACUCUCUUCUAAAACUAGUGUUAAAACCUACGUGCACGGUCAAUAUGCGAUUGUAAUAACGAAUUUCGGGACACGCCAAAAAAGAGAGAAAAUAGAAUAAAAGAAGAAGUGAGAAUGACUCUUGAAAGUGUCGAGGCACGAUUCCGCAAGCGGCUAGAGUAGCCAUUUGUCGCGUGCUCUAACGUGUAAGUUAAAUCUAUAGCGUGUGGAAUUGUUUUAUAUGUUUCGAUACGGAAAUUGCGAUUCGACUGCGCCUUACGAAGGAGAAACAGAACAAAGAGAGGAAAGGAGAAAGGAGAGAAAAUACAAGGGAGGCGUGCGUGAGUCGCACGCACGAUUAGAUUCACGCGUGAUAACGCAGGCAUUCGAAGAUUGCGAAGAUCAUAUCCACGAUUUGCAAUCGGAAAUUCGUAAAUCUCCCGUUUAUCGUAUUUACCAGCGCGCCUAUCCACCCACAGUAUUUUUUACUGUACUCAUUUGAUCAACUGCCGCGCAAACGGCGCUUAAGUCUAGCAUUAUACAUACAUAUAUACAUAUAUAUAUAUAUAUAUAUAUAUAUAUAUAUAUAUAUUAUUAUAUAUAUACAUAAUAGACCUAUCGAACUGUUGACGAAAGUAUCACAUAUAUGUACGUUAGAUUAUGGAGAUAUUUAUUUUUAAGUUUUUGAAUUAUAAAAAAUCCGUUAAAAAUAAUGAAGGCUCUAUCCAUUAUUGAACCCUGAGAUUGUCUACAAUUAGUGAAGCGCGAAUCGCACAAUGAGCGACGAUCGUGUAAUACGAACGUUCGUAUAUAAAUAUAUAUUAUCUCUACGUUGUUUUUAGAUUGGAGAUUUUAAUAAAGGAACUUAGAAAGCAA